rnacentral:rRNA from 1 species
AACGAACGCUGGCGGCAGGCUUAACACAUGCAAGUCGAACGCCCCGCAAGGGGAGUGGCAGACGGGUGAGUAACGCGUGGGAAUCUACCCAGAUCUUCGGAACAACUGAGGGAAACUUCAGCUAAUACCGGAUACGCCCUACGGGGGAAAGAUUUAUCGGUUCUGGAUGAGCCCGCGUUGGAUUAGCUAGUUGGUGAGGUAACGGCUCACCAAGGCGACGAUCCAUAGCUGGUCUGAGAGGAUGAUCAGCCACACUGGGACUGAGACACGGCCCAGACUCCUACGGGAGGCAGCAGUGGGGAAUAUUGGACAAUGGGCGAAAGCCUGAUCCAGCCAUGCCGCGUGAGUGAUGAAGGCCUUAGGGUUGUAAAGCUCUUUCAGUAGGGAAGAUAAUGACGGUACCUACAGAAGAAGCCCCGGCUAACUUCGUGCCAGCCGCCGCGGUAAAAC